CCCCUUCACGCACUCAAGUGAUGGGUCGGGAGUACAUGGGGGUGCUGCUGGGGGCCCCGAAAAGACACCUACAGCAAGUGUGGGGUGACGGAUGGGGCGGGGGCAUUGCACAGGGACCUCAGAGAGGAGCCCUGGCUGGUCGGCUGGGGGCAGUGCAGCUGCCUGACAAAGGGCUGAGCCUGGGCAGGCAGACCAACGGGCCCCCUGGCUCUGUGCGAGCUGCCCUGGGCUCGCGGCCUCAGCCUGCCACGUGGGUUCAGCAAGGACGGGCUGAGGACAUGGCGCAUGCGCCCGCCACCCUGUGAAGCACAUGCUUCCACAGCCAGAGCCGUGCCUCCUGGCAGUGGCGCAGGGGCUGACCUUAGCUGACCCCUUCUAAGCUUCGGUUUCCUCUUCUGUGGCACUGAGAUGACAGAUUCGGCGGGGCGGCCGCUCCACACAUCAGGCGCGGCUUUGCAGCGAGAGAGGAUGUCUGGCGCGGGGCCCAGAGAGAUCAGGCCGACGCACAGGUGAUCAGCCUACCUCGUUGCUUCUGAGGACAAGUGCCGGCCUCCCAAGUACAAGCUGGCAGCUGCCAAGGGGACAAAGACUCCUCGCGCACCACCAAGAGGAAGAGAGGGGUGACUGACCGUCCCUGUGGGAAGCACGGGCACCUGGAUUUGCUUGGGAAGUGGGGAGAGGCGAGCAGCCAGCCCUGCCCACAGCGGCCUGCGGGCACCUCCGGGCCAGGGGCACAGAGGUUCCCAGCCGGGCGUAGUGCCUGCCCGGCCGGCCACAGACCACACUGGCCAGGUGGCCCUGCGUGGAUCACGGAGCCACAGUGCGCGCAGCUCCCCGUCUGCACCCUGGAGUCCGUCCAGCACAGCGUCAUUGUGAGGACCGGAUGGGACAAAUCACGUCCAAGAAUCUCGGCGUGUCCUGCAGGCGCAAGGCGCGGGGCCUCAGCUCAGGGCUGCCUCCGGGUCUGUGUGCAGGAGGCUGCCCGGCUCCCACCCACUCCGACUCCCGGAAACGGCGCCCAGUCUCCCUGCUCUCAUCCGUGUGUUCCUGGUAGGAUUAAGUCAACCAGUUUAUCACCCUGAAUCCUGUGAUUGGUUCAGGGAUGGGCAUGUGACCCAACCAGAGCCAAUGAGAUUUGAGAAAGGCCUCCCUGGGAAAGAGACACACCCUCUUUCUUCUGCAGAGCCACCAAAGGUGUUCUGUACCCUGAACGACGCAGCAGGAGCUGGAUAGCCGUGGAGACCAUGGUGUGACACACAGUAGAAAGGCCCACAGCGCUGGAGGCAGCGGCUGAGAGGCUGAGGAGGACCUCAACCUCAGCAAAGGCCUUGCAGACGGAGACCUGGACUUGGGACACCAUCCAGGUGCCCGGAUCGAGCCUUCCUGAGGAUUUCUCAGUUGUUUUAUUUGAUUUCAAGAAUUUCCUCACACCAUUAAACUUUGAGAAACUAACAGUCAAAGGCCACAGAACGCUCUGCCCUAAUGCUACUGAUGGCGUUCCCCAUGGCAGAAUAUUCAGGUGGAUUCCAGUAACUGGCCAGAGAAGACUAAGCCUGAUAUCAGUUUCUGUCUGGAAGCUUAUCAAUCAAGACUGUCUGCCCUGCCUCCAAGGUGGGCUGAGCCACCAUCCGUUCGAUUAAAAUGCAAUCUUAACUUUUAAGACAGAAUUCUUCCUGAAUAAGCUGUGUCUUUGAGCAGGUGCUGAAGUAAAUCUUACAAUGGUAUGUGCUACUUGACACAACGAAAGCACAGGCUACGCUGAGGUACUUUUAUCUGGGGAGUACUCAGACUUCUAGGCCAAGUCGCUCCUGGCCGUCUGAGCUUUUAUGUUGAACUGGUUAACUCUUUGAGUCCCUUUUCGUGGGCUUACUGGCCUUAUUCUCUUUCCACCCCGCUCAUAUCUAUUUUCUUGCCUAACAAGGGGGCCCCUAUUUUCAAACCUGGGUCUCAAUGGCCCCUUCCACACACUCCAGACAGUUUUCUGCGUGGAACCCUCCUGUAGCGCCGGAGGGCUUCGGCUCCAGGCAGGUUCACUCUGGAUUCCAUGAGACCAAAUAACAACAAAACGUGCUGGGUAAAAGGUCUUUUAUCAAGCUUUUCUCUCACAGCAGCAGGUUUAAGGCUAGAAUCACGUCCACUGACAUGAUCUACUUUCCACGACCCACCUGGAUGCAAGCACCAAGCAGUUGCCCCCUUUUAUACGAUAUUGGCUCAUUGUCAACACAUACCGCACAAGUUUUACAUCAUUGCACGUGCACAGUGGGCAAACCAGCCAGAGGACCUUGAGUAAUAAAGGAAAAUUUCUUCCUCCCCAACAACCUGAAAGCCACAGGACUGAAGCUGGGAGCUUAUCUGUAAGGCACCACAGCCCCGGGCCACUGUGAUGAUAAAUGGCAUCUAGACAGUCUCCCUUCUACCAGCCUCUGCUGGGGGGCAGACCCCCAUCAGCCUGGCCAAUCAGAACCUGGCACUUCCCUUGGCCCCAGUGAAGGGCAGGAAGUUGCUGACUGAUGACUUCUUCCUCCUGGUCCGACAAGCAGCCAGUGCUGGGCCGGUCGGUCUGCCUCCAGGAGGGCGGGCAGCCUUAGGACAAAGCAGGGCUGUCAGGACGUGGGGGCAGAGC